GUGGGGAAUAUUGGACAAUGGGCGCAAGCCUGAUCCAGCCAUACCGCGUGGGUGAAGAAGGCCUUCGGGUUGUAAAGCCCUUUUGUUGGGAAAGAAAAGCAGCCGGUUAAUACCCGGUUGUUCUGACGGUACCCAAAGAAUAAGCACCGGCUAACUUCGUGCCAGCAGCCGCGGUAAUACGAAGGGUGCAAGCGUUACUCGGAAUUACUGGGCGUAAAGCGUGCGUAGGUGGUUGUUUAAGUCUGUCGUGAAAGCCCUGGGCUCAACCUGGGAAUUGCGAUGGAAACUGGGCGACUAGAGUGUGGCAGAGGAUAGUGGAAUUCCUGGUGUAGCAGUGAAAUGCGUAGAGAUCAGGAGGAACAUCCGUGGCGAAGGCGACUGUCUGGGCCAACACUGACACUGAGGCACGAAAGCGUGGGGAGCAAACAGGAUUAGAAACCCUAGUAGUCC
rnacentral:rRNA from 1 species